GUUAAAAUAAAACUAACAUAUCAAUAAUAAACAUACAUUAACCGUGCGUAACACGAGUUUGACGUUAGUAUAUAUAUACACAUUGGAUAUGCUCAUUAUUGGAUGGGUGCUGGUAACCAGUGUCUGUCUUUGUUGUAGACUUGUAGUGUACAUUGUAUGUGUGAUACAUAUGUUGAAGUGCAUAUGUUAUUGCAUAUGGAAAUAGAAAAAUGAAAUAAUACAUGCACUUUAAUAUAUGUAUGUAUAUAUGUAUGCAUGUGUUGAAGUGCAUAUGGAAAAAGUAACAUAGAUUGAUUGCUUUUUUUUGCUUAUAAAAAGAUGGGUUAAUGCAUAUAUGGAAAGAAUUAUGGCCAAUCAUAUAUCCUGGACAGGAGUAAACAUAAAUCAAUUUGAAAUUUGAAAAUUUGGCAAGUGUGAGCAGCAUAAAAUAUGGAUACAAGUACUUGCCAAAAAUAUAAAAUAGACAUACAAAUGGUAUUUUUGUUUGUUUCACUACAAGAAAAAUUGCAUAUUAUGGCGCUUAUAUUAUGGCAUUUUUUAAAACGCCUUUAUUGAUCAAUUUACGACAACGUUUCGAAGAUACUGUCUAAGAUUUAGGUCGAACGAAUGUCAGUUUAAAGAUAUAUUCGUCACACCAUUACGUAACAAAACUCCGUCUCUCUCUUUCAAACUCAUCAGAUCCCCUUUCAAAACCCUCUCUCUCUCUGUCUCUCUCUCUCCACACCAGAUUCAUUUUGAAGGCUCUCGAGUUUGAACAGAAGAUAUUUUGAAGGCUCUAGAGUUUGAAAAUAAAGAUUUCGAGUUUAAAGGUUGUUUCUAUCAGAUCUGCGCUUCUCUUUUCUGAUUUUCUGUGUUUAUUAGAUCCAUCAUUCGUUGAUUUAUCAUUGCUGUCUCAUACUUACAAUACUCAAACUCAGAUUUGUAAGUAUUUCUUUUAUUUCACAUCUAAAGAGAUAUAUAUAUAUACACACAAACUCAGAUCUGAUCUGUACGAAUUUAAAUCUUUUAAUUUUUCAGGUCUGUUUGAUAUCUAUAUGUAUACCCUUUCUCUGAUGUAGCAUUGGAUUCUACUAUGCAUUUGUGUAGAUAUGUUUUUGAGAGUUCAUCUUCAAUCUUUAUAAGCUUUGUAUAGCUUUGUGUUUGCAAAUUUGAUUCUUCAGGAUUCUGUUUUAAUGUAGAAGAUGGAGAAAAAAAAUUGUCCUAUAGAUCCAAGUCUUUUUGACCAUUUUAAUUCCCUUUUUCAAUGGCAAUAUUAACUCUUAAUUUACUUUAUAUGAGAAUUGGAAUUAUAUGAGGUUUAAUUAUGGAUAUUAUGGUUUAAUUUAUUGAUUGAUGUAUUUUUAUCAUAUUAUCCUUCGUUGAUUUGAAUGUAUGGUGCUCAGACUACACUGAAUUGAAACUUUCCUCAAUAGAUGGCUUGAGUUGGGUUUAUAUAAUAGUAUAGAUAGUGUAGAUGUAGAUAUAUGUUUUUGGUAUGUGUUUCUGGUAUUUGGUUUUUGGGUAAGUCAUGAUAUGUCUCUGUUUGUUUGGUUGAGAACUCUGAGAAGUGGUCUGUUUUUGGAUUGGUUUGGGUUAAUUGCUAUCGAGCAAAAUAAAACUAUGAAUACUUUUUUGUAAAGAGGGCCAACAAUGGCACUUGUUUUUACUAACAUCAGUGUAAUCAUACUGGGACAUCUUACAUUAAAUUAUUUGGUUGCAUAGUGAUGGAUAAAAAAUAAAAUAAAAUAAAUUAUUUGGUUGGUUUCUAUAGUAUUAAAAUUGAAAUCACUUAUAUGGUUGCAUUUGGAUUGAAUUUAUGAAGAGAAAGAUAAAAGAUGUGAAUGAAAUAAAAGUUAAUUUUUUUUCUGCUUUUCCCUUUCCCUUUCCCUUUCCCUUUCCCUUUCCAAAUCCCUAUCCAAAUCCAUGAUCUAAAAACAUAUAGUACAUAGUUGUGUGAUUAGGCUCUUAAUUUUCUGUACUCAUUUACAUUCCCUAUUCUUUAUCUAAGAAGAUUGAAUCAGAGUUUAUUUGUGUCAGAAAAAAUCAAAAUUUAUUUGUAUAAAAAAAUAAAGAUUUUAUGACAUACGCUCCAUUUACAUGAAGGUUUCCAUUCCCUCUUGGCUUGUCAUGAUUCAUGUCUCCAUUUUCAAGUAUAAUUAAAUUUUUUGUAGGUUCUCGCAUACACCUUUUGUUGAACUUCAUGAUUUAUUUAUUGGUCGGGUGUGGUAAAGUUCAGCUAGAUUUAACCAGGUUUAACUAUCUGUUCUCCCACUUGAACUAAUGUAGCAGAUUCCUUAAGAUUACUUGAUUUUUUAAAUUUCAAUUUCCACAGCAAUUUCAUGUUGGUACUCUGUAUUUGUAUCAGUAGUUCAUGGAACAGGAUUUCUUUCAAGCUCUCCUCCACCAUUUAUAGAUUCAAUAUUUAUACUCUAAUUAACUCCAGGACUGUGUUAUUAACAAUUUCACUCAGAAGGAUGAUUUUAGGCCUUUAAAAGCCACAUAAAACAUGACAAGGAUUUAUCCUACUAUUCACAGUUGUGAUGUCAACUAUUUCAUUGUUAGUAGAAAUAUGGUUAUGUUUGAAUGGUAUGAUUCUAAGACAAGAAAUGGAUGACAUUGCUAGGCUGGAGCAGUGACUUUGUGUUUGUGUCUAUAUGGAAGUUGACUCGUAAUUUACUUGAAAUCAGAAUUGGAAAAUUAAAUGAGGUUUAGUUAUGGAUGUUGUGGUUCAUUAUUCUUUAAGGGGAAAAAAGUGAACAGGGCAAACAAGAUUUCUCACUUGAACCACAAGACAAAGAAGUUGCAGUUUGUGAACCUACAAUACAAAAUAAUCUAGUGGGAGGCAGGGAAACGUUACAUCAAGUUGCAGUUGUCAACCAAGGCAAUAAAGACCGUAAAGAAGAAUGGACUGGAUGCUGUUGCUAAGAAGGCUGGGAGCGAUCUUCACAAGGAAUAGUGAAUAGUUUGUUGGUAUUGCUUGAUGCUGUCGGUAAAAAUCCAUUACUAGUUGCAUGGGUGCAUGCUUUUUUUAUGUUGUUAUUUUCAUGGCAUUUUUUAUACUGCUGAGUAUUUUUAAUUUUCUUAAUGAAAAGCUCCAUUAUUGAUAUCUUUCUGUAAUUCCUUUUGUGCAUGCACUCAAGGUGAAUUAAAUAAAUUGGUAUAUUGUGUGACUUUGAUGCUUAUCAGAGCAUGAGCAUAUAGUUUGAUGAAGCAUUUAAAAGGAUGAAGCUUGGUUUUGCUUAUGUGUUUUUCCCCAGCAGGUUCAUGGAGAAGAAGUGGCAUGUGCAAGCACUUUAAUCUCUACUUGAAUAUUGAUCUCAGAGCUUUCAGGCCCGUAUGGAUGCAGAUGAAUCCAUGUAGAGAACAAUUAUGUCUUCAUUUGGGAAGAAAUGGAGAGAUUGGAAAAGCCGAGUGAAAAAAUUGGGAUACAACCCUUUCAAGAAUGAUGCAGAUUGGUUAGCUCAUUGUCACAUGGUCCGGGGGAUACCCAAUCUCUAAACUGUUCUGACUCUCGAUUUCUUUGAUCUAAUUUCACGAGUGCAAUGUGAAACAUAGAUGAGAGUCCAGAUCUGACAACUUUUGUAAAAAAUCCAUUAUUGCAAAACCUUUGCCAGAAAUAGACUGCAUCACUAGAUCUCAGAGUCCCCACCUAAUCUUUUGGGAAAACUAGAAAACCCAUGACUCGUGCCAAGGCCACUAUUCGUCGUAACCAAAGAUGUCUCGGUUCAAAAUCUUAGGUAUGAGGAGGGAACGUCAUUAAUUGAGCAUCUCCGUUCACCCGAUUAAAAGAUAUGUCUCUACUAAAUCAUGAUAUGAGUUUUAUUGACUUUAUAUUAUGUUCAUAUUAUAAUUAUUUAAUAAAUGCUAA